AACUUCUCAAGUGCAUUAAGUCUACAUAAAGAGACUCUAUUUGUUGUGAAAGUUUUGGCACCUCUGCAUUAGUUCUUUCUCUUUCAACUGGAACAAUUGUAAUAAAAUGGUCUAGUAGAUCACAAUUUAUUCGGGUUUUCAGCUCAGUAACUUGUUUUCUUUCAGUAAGAAUUUGCUAACAUGGAAAAGAAUGAUACAUACAUAUGCAGCAGAAUCCUAAACAACUAAAUAAAUCAAUAUCAAAAGUGAAAGGAAAGAAAAAAUAACAAACAAGAAACAUGUAACACAUCAUGCUAGUCUCUUUGUGGAUACCAAAAAUAAAAGUAAAGAGAAAAGAAAAAACAGAAAAGGAAAUACGUAACACAGCAUGCCAAUGUCUAUACAUCCAAGAAAGACCCUUCACUGAAGACAACAUGGGCAGAAUACAACGAGGAAGCGAAAAAAACUACUUAAUUUCUUAUAAUUUUAUGUUUCUGGCACAAGAGUAAUUCUAGUAAUUUUAUAAUUAGGAUUUUAGUUUUGUCGAUUUAUGACAUUUUGCUUGUGAAUGUUCAUACUCUUAACUAAGCUCCAUUUAUUUUAUUAAUGGUCAGUUAUUUGACUUAGACAUAAAGUUUUGACAAGGUCUAUAUAACUGAUGUAUCCAGCUAUUAGAUAGCCAAAAAUAUUUACGUCAAAAGAAAAAAAAAAAAAACUAGCAGCCAAAAUAUGUCAAGUUUUUCUCAGGUGUGUGUUCACUAAAAGCCCCUAAAGUUUAGGUCUUCUUCUGUUCUAUAUUCUACUUUAAUUUCUCCCAAAAAAGCUCCCUAUUCAAUUAGCUAAGUAGUUAGCAACAAUUCUCCAACUUUACAAAGUCCAACUUUUCCCGCGUUUCAAGUCCUGCAUCUCAAUCCUUUCAUUCACUAUACCCACAUUAACUAUUAUUUCUAGGGCGGUUGUACCAGUUUCAAAGUUCUAAUUAUAUUCAUGUGUAGCCCAAAGUAAAACUGAAAUGAAAAACUUCAGUUCAAUCUACAUGGAUUACAGAUUCAAAUCAUACUCCAAAAACGGGUACCUAAACAUAUACUAUUAGUUUGGCUUAUAGCAAAUAAACAACUAUAAGGCAUUGACAGUAAACCCUCCAAAAUGCUAAUGACAGACUACCUUUCAUAUUUAUAAUACAGUGAAGACAGUACCAGCAGUAUAUGCUAAAUUUCUUGUACAGCUAAACAACUGGGUUAUCAUGAUUGAAUAUCUGACAAUUUUAAAAAAAACAAAAAUUCAAUUCUGCA
rnacentral:lncRNA from 1 species